rnacentral:rRNA from 1 species
AGAGUUUGAUCCUGGCUCAGGAUGAACGCUAGCGGCGUGCCUAACACAUGCAAGUCGAACGCGCAGCCGAAUUCUUCGGAAAUCGGUGGGCGAGUGGCGAGCGGGUGAGUAACACGUGGGUGACCUGCCCCGAAGUGGGGGAUAAUCCUUCGAAAGGGGGACUAAUCCCGCAUAUGCUCCACAGGGUUAGAGGCCUGUGGAGUAAAGUUCCGGCGCUUCGGGAGGGGCCUGCGGCCGAUUAGCUAGUUGGUGGGGUAAUGGCUCACCAAGGCGACGAUCGGUAGCUGGUCUGAGAGGACGAUCAGCCACACUGGCACUGAGACACGGGCCAGACUCCUACGGGAGGCAGCAGUGAGGAAUAUUGCGCAAUGGGCGAAAGCCUGACGCAGCAACGCCGCGUGGGUGAUGAAGGCCUUCGGGUCGUAAAACCCUUUUCUGGGGGACGAGGAAGGACGGUACCUCAGGAAUAAGUCUCGGCUAACUACGUGCCAGCAGCCGCGGUAAAACGUAGGAGGCGAGCGUUAUCCGGAUUUACUGGGCGUAAAGCGCGCGCAGGCGGCUCCGUAAGUCGGACGUGAAAGCCCCCGGCUCAACUGGGGGAGGUCGUUCGAUACUGCAGGGCUUGAGGUCGGGAGAGGGAAGCGGAAUUCCCGGUGUAGUGGUGAAAUGCGUAGAUAUCGGGAGGAACACCAGUGGCGAAGGCGGCUUCCUGGCCCGCACCUGACGCUAAGGCGCGAAAGCGUGGGUAGCGAACGGGAUUAGAUACCCCGGUAGUCCACGCCCUAAACGAUGGCAACUAGGUGUUGGGGGCUAUUAACCCC